rnacentral:piRNA from 1 species
UGAAGGUCGAGCUGUGCAGUU